GGACUACACGGGUUUCUAAUCCUGUUUGCUCCCCACGCUUUCGCACCUCAGCGUCAGUAUUGGUCCAGGUGGUCGCCUUCGCCACUGAUGUUCCUCCUAAUAUCUACGCAUUUCACCGCUACACUAGGAAUUCCACCACCCUCUACCAUACUCUAGUCAAUCAGUUUCGAAUGCAGUUCCCAGGUUGAGCCCAGGGCUUUCACAUCCGACUUAAUAAACCGCCUACGCGCGCUUUACGCCCAGUAAUUCCGAUUAACGCUUGCACCCUCUGUAUUACCGCGGCGGCUGGCACAA
rnacentral:misc_RNA from 1 species